ACAGGUCCUUCUCAAAAAAUUUGCAUAUUGUGAAAAAGUUCAUUAUUUUCCAUAAUGUAAUGAUAAAAAUUAAACUUUCAUAUAUUUUAGAUUCAUUGCACACCAACUGAAAUAUUUCUGGUCUUUUAUUGAUUUAAUACUGAUGAUUUUGGCAUACAGCUCAUGAAAACCCAAAAUUCCUAUCUGGUAUAUUGAUUUAAACCGCUAUCAAGCUAAUCCAAAGAAAGUGUCCAAAAACUUAACUUAACUUAAAAAUCUUAACGAAUUGUACGCGCUUGAGACCCAUAGUUUUUCAAAUGUUUUCUUGAACUUUGCGUUAAACUUCUUUUAACAAAGUCUGUGUGUAGCAGGUGAAUUAAAGGCUCACAAGCGACUAAAAAUAUCCAAGGAAUGGGUCUUCAUGAACAGAUUACCGUUUCCCUGGCAGAAUCUGAUUUCUGCAUGUGUGAACACACCAUACCCAGCUAACACCGUUUCUUCUGCGACAGCGUUUGAGUGACAUGGACCAGCCCCUCUGCUUCAGCUCUGCAGCAUUUACACACAGGGUUACCAUGGAAACUCAUCCCCCGGACCCUCAGACCCCGCUCAGCCUGUCUACACCCUGCAAAACCUUCAGGAGAGACUCAGGAGUAACACGUCACAGAACAGAGACACCCACUCAUCUAAACACACCCCCAGAUCUGUGCAGGCUCCGCCCACAGAAGAGCUCCAAGAAAGGCUAAGCGCAGAAACUGUACAAGAGAGAAACUCUGCAUUACGGGGAUCUGCAUGGAGCGUGUGCACUGAUGAAAGUCCCCUGGAAACAGUAUCCACUAGGAAAGGUUCCAGGACAACCGGAGGACCGUCCUGCUUGAUGGAGUGUUAUUCUACAUUUACUGUGUUUGACCAGCAGGUGGAGCUAUAUCAACUUCCCCAGCACCAUGGCAACAGGAGUGUUCCCCUUCAGAGCAGAGCCAUUGGAUCAGAUGGGCCGCUUUGGACUCAUAGUGAUUUGAGCAAACUCAAAGCUGGACUCAAGCUGUUCCUCAACAUAUUAAACAACCAACCCUGAACUAUAAACCCUGUGAUGUUAAAGACAAACACUUGAGAGCUAACUGGACUGAGGCUCAUCUAGACACACACACACAUCAAACUGUUUUUCUUUUAUAGUUCGUGUCCAUCUUUGUGAGAAGUAAUAUCGGUUGUCUGUCUCGCUCUAGUGUUAUUGCAGUUACAGUCCAGGCUACAGUUUGAUCUGUUCAAACCAUCCGGAAGUGAAACUCCCAUGAGCAAUGUCUCACGAGGUUCUAAUGAAGAAGUAGGUGCUGUUUGAGAAAUGUUGUAAAUUACGUGACAUUAUUUUUGAAGACUAAGUUGCCAAAUAGAAUUCAUUUCGUAUUGUGUA